ACCUAGAUAUCCCAGUUGGUUAGAGUUUGGUGCCAAUGAUGCCAAGGUUGCAGGUUCGAUCCCUGUAUGGGGCA